rnacentral:rRNA from 1 species
GUGAACGCUGGCGGUAGGCCUAACACAUGCAAGUCGAACGGCAGCACAGUAAGAGCUUGCUCUUACGGGUGGCGAGUGGCGGACGGGUGAGGAAUACAUCGGAAUCUACUUUUUCGUGGGGGAUAACGUAGGGAAACUUACGCUAAUACCGCAUACGACCUACGGGUGAAAGCAGGGGAUCUUCGGACCUUGCGCGAUUGAAUGAGCCGAUGUCGGAUUAGCUAGUUGGCGGGGUAAAGGCCCACCAAGGCGACGAUCCGUAACUGGUCUGAGAGGAUGAUCAGCCACACUGGAACUGAGACACGGUCCAGACUCCUACGGGAGGCAGCAGUGGGGAAUAUUGGACAAUGGGCGCAAGCCUGAUCCAGCCAUACCGCGUGGGUGAAGAAGGCCUUCGGGUUGUAAAGCCCUUUUGUUGGGAAAGAAAAGCAGCAGGUUAAUACCCCGCUGUUCUGACGGUACCAAAAGAAUAAGCACCGGCUAACUUCGUG